rnacentral:rRNA from 1 species
GACGAACGCUGGCGGCGUGCUUAACACAUGCAAGUCGAACGGAAAGGCCCUGCUUUUGUGGGGUGCUCGAGUGGCGAACGGGUGAGUAACACGUGAGUAACCUUCCCUUGCCUUUGGGAUAACUUCAGGAAACUGGUGCUAAUACCGGAUAGGAGCUCCUGCUGCAUGUUGUGGGUUGGAAAGUUUCGGCGGUUGGGGAUGGACUCGCGGCUUAUCAGCUUGUUGGUGGGGUAGUGGCUUACCAAGGCAUUGACGGGUGGCCGGCCUGAGAGGGUGACCGGCCACAUUGGGCCUGAGAUACGGGCCAGAGUCCAACGGGAGGCAGCAGUGGGGAACAGUGCGCGAUGGGCGGAAGCCGGAUGCAGCAACGCCGGGUGCGGGAUGACGGCCGUCGGGGUGUAAACCGCUUUCGCCUGUGACGAAGCGUGAGUGACGGUAAUGGGUAAAGAAGCACCGGCUAACUACGUG